CCCUUCACAAAUUUCCAAUUAGGGUUUCACAUUAACCUUGAUCAAAACUUCUACGUACAUAUAUAUACAUAUAUAUUUACAUAUAAUCUCUCUCUCUCCCUCUGUUUCUGAAUUUUGAUUUCCCGGGAAAGUUUCGAACUCGAUCGCUUCUUCGAAAGUCUCCUAAAGCUUUUUGAAAAAACAAAAAUCCAAAAUAUUUGUGAUAUAAAAAGGAAAUAAAUUUUAAAUCGCGCAUGGAAUUGACUGGUUCAUUUGCCUGAAAGUUGGUUCAGAUAGAGAGAGAUGGAGGGAGGGGAGACAGAGAUUGAGGGAGGAGAGAGAGAGAUGGAAGAAGAAAUGGUGGAAUUCGCGAGGGAGGCUUUCGAGGGGGAUGAAAUUGACAUGGACUACGAAUUCGAUGCGCUAAAGGUUCUACGAUUUCACUAGGCCGGAAUCUGAUUGGGAGGCCGAGGAGGCGGAGGAAUGGUUCCGGUCAGCCGGAGGCUAUAAGCCCUCGCGUAAGCGAUUUCCGGAUCAUUUGUUUGUUGUUUUCUUAGCAUGUCCCAAAAACAAUGAAUUGGAUCAUCUUCUAUGAUUACCACAUUAAUUAAUGAUCGUUUUCUGCUAAUUAAUUUCAGCAUCUACAUGUUAAGUUCAUGCAUUUUAGUUAUGUUACGUUGUUUUAUAUGAACAGAUUAGAGAUUGAAUUAUAAAUAUUAUAAUUUGAUUGGAUUAAUUUGUUACCACUAACUUUAUUUUUCCUUUGUUUAAUUUGUUUCAAAUCCUUUAGCUUUCCUUGAAAAAUGGUUGAAUUGGCAACAAGAGAAUCAUCCGGUACCUGUAAAAACCUCCGCGGAAUCGAAAGAUGUUGAAGUUACUAGAUGCAGUAACUUGAAUAAUUGCAUGAAAGCAAAGGUCUCUGCACCCGUAGAAGAUAAUGACAAAGAGUUUUCUAAUCACAUGGCUCAAGACACUCCGAAAACCAAACUGAAGUCCCCGGGUAAGUCACCACAUCUAUCAAGGAGUUCAACGUUAAUGAAACCCACGGCGAGUCGGUUGGCCAAGCAAAAUCAGCACCGAGAGGUUCACUCCAAUCGGUUAUUAAGGAGAGUUGCGAAAAAGCUCGGGAAACUUGAUUAGAAAUCACCGAAUUCUCCGCCACCUACGAUGGGCUACGAAAAUUCGAAGUAAUGUAGCAUAG